AUUGAACGCUGGCGGCAGGCCUAACACAUGCAAGUCGAGCGAGCGGCGGACGGGUGAGUAAUGUCUGGGAAACUGCCUGCUGGAGGGGGCUAACUACUGGAACCGGUAGCUAAUACCGCAUACCAUCAGAUGUGCCCAGAUGGGAUUAGCUAGUAGGUUGGGUAACGGCUCACCUAGGCGACGAUCCCUAGCUGGUCUGAGAGGAUGACCAGCCACACUGGAACUGAGACACGGUCAAGAAUCCUACGGGAGGCAGCAGUGGGAAAUAUUGCACAAUGGGCGCAAGCCUGAUGCAGCCGUGCCGCGUGUGUGAAGAAGGCCUUAGGGUUGUAAAGCACUUUCAGCGGGGAGGCGUUACCCGCAGAAGAAGCACCGGCUAACUCCGUGCCAGCCGCCGCGGUAAUAC
rnacentral:rRNA from 1 species